rnacentral:misc_RNA from 1 species
CCUGCACUUGAGCAGCCUGUCCUGGACGUAGAACCCAGGCACCACCAUGAGUUUCACCCGCGCCGAUGGCGGCGGCUCAUGGUCCUGCGACCGCUGCAUGUCGAGCAGCACGUCCUCCAUGUACGUCUGCUCGAACGCCCUGCCCUCCUCGACGCGCAGGAUCGCCAGCGGCGGGCUGAAGGAGAAGGCCAGCAGGUGGAGCAGCCAGACGCACUUGCACGCCACGAAGAAGCACUGCAGCAGCGGCUCGGCCCAACACGGCCGCGACCAGUUCAUCAGGGCCGACGCCACGCAGCC